rnacentral:rRNA from 1 species
GUCGAGCGGUAGCACAAGAGAGCUUGCUCUCUGGGUGACGAGCGGCGGACGGGUGAGUAAUGUCUGGGAAACUGCCUGAUGGAGGGGGAUAACUACUGGAAACGGUAGCUAAUACCGCAUAACGUCGCAAGACCAAAGAGGGGGACCUUCGGGCCUCUUGCCAUCAGAUGUGCCCAGAUGGGAUUAGCUAGUAGGUGGGGUAAUGGCUCACCUAGGCGACGAUCCCUAGCUGGUCUGAGAGGAUGACCAGCCACACUGGAACUGAGACACGGUCCAGACUCCUACGGGAGGCAGCAGUGGGGAAUAUUGCACAAUGGGCGCAAGCCUGAUGCAGCCAUGCCGCGUGUGUGAAGAAGGCCUUCGGGUUGUAAAGCACUUUCAGCGAGGAGGAAGGUGGUGAACUUAAUACGUUCAUCAAUUGACGUUACUCGCAGAAGAAGCACCGGCUAACUCCGUGCCAGCAGCCGCGGUAAUACGGAGGGUGCAAGCGUUAAUCGGAAUUACUGGGCGUAAAGCGCACGCAGGCGGUUUGUUAAGUCAGAUGUGAAAUCCCCGGGCUCAACCUGGGAACUGCAUUUGAAACUGGCAAGCUAGAGUCUCGUAGAGGGGGGUAGAAUUCCAGGUGUAGCGGUGAAAUGCGUAGAGAUCUGGAGGAAUACCGGUGGCGAAGGCGGCCCCCUGGACGAAGACUGACGCUCA